GAAUAUUGGACAAUGGGGGGAACCCUGAUCCAGCCAUGCCGCGUGUGUGAAGAAGGCCUUUUGGUUGUAAAGCACUUUAAGCGAGGAGGAGGCUACUCUGGUUAAUACCUAGGGAUGGUGGAGGUUACUCGCAGAAUAGGCACCGGCUAACUCGGUGCCACAAGCCGCGGUAAGACAGAGGGUGCAAGCGUUAAUCGGAUUUACUGGGCGUAAAGCGCGCGUAGGUGGCCAAUUAAGUCAAAUGUGAAAUCCCCGAGCUUAACUUGGGAAUUGCAUUCGAUACUGGUUGGCUAGAGUAUGGGAGAGGAUGGUAGAAUUCCAGGUGUAGCGGUGAAAUGCGUAGAGAUCUGGAGGAAUACCGAUGGCGAAGGCAGCCAUCUGGCCUAAUACUGACACUGAGGUGCGAAAGCAUGGGGAGCAAACAG
rnacentral:rRNA from 1 species